UAUUACUGGAUAAGAUUGGGCCACAUUACACCCUCAGGUCUCUGCUUCAAAGAGCUUACACUGUAAAUAAAGAAAAAUACAAAGGGGGAGGGGAGAGCAGGGCAAUAUGUGAGACUUUUUAACUGUUGCCUAUUUGCUUUGGGUCCCUUGCUCAUAAAACCAGAUGAAAGAGUGAUGUUACCAACCAACCCCCCAUAAAACCACAUCCUCCCCUUACCAUCUUCUCUUUCUGAGAGAAAGCACGGCCUAGUGCUUAAAGCAUAGGACUGUGAGUUGAAGUCGGUGUUCUAAUCUGGGCUGCAGAGACUCCCUGUGUGAUCUUGGGGUGCUUAGGGCUCCAAUCCAGCACACCUUCCUUGUACAGCCAUCCCAUUUAAAUCACUGGGAUAUCUAAAUGUGGAGUGCUUGCAGAAUUGAGCUCUUAUCUCUGUGUACCUUAGUUUCCUCAUCUAUAAAAUGGGGGUAAUAGAUAAGUAUUAUUAUUCACAAAGAGGUCAUUGGGAGGGGUAUUUCACGCACAUUUAAGUGUUUUGAGAUCCAUGAAUGGAAUGUGCUGUAGGAAAUGAAAAGUAUUACUAAUAAACAUCAGGAAAGAUUCCCUCAAUUUGAGCUGUAUUUUACAGGAAACCAUAUAGCACAGUGGGGUCUUGGUCCCUGAGUGGGGUUUCUAGGCACUACGAAAACACAAAUAAUAGUGCUAUCUGUGUAUCCAGAAGAUUAUAGAUAGUCACUCUAGGGAAAUGGCAAAAGGUCCAGUGCUUGAGCCCCAUAAAACAAGACUGGACAAAGAACUGGAGAACAUGCUAUCCUACAAUGGUUCCCUGGAGAAGGACAAGAUGGGACCUAAUCACUCUCUUCUAUUUCUAAUUUCUAUUCUUCCGUUCAGUAUUUAGCUACAGUACAGAAAUAAAGCUACUGAACUUUUUUCCACUCACAAGUGAAGUCUGAGAAUAAAGAAUGACACAGCUUUAAAAACUUCUGUAGAACAUUUAUGUAAGAAAUUAAGGUCAGUCCAAUCUAGCAAUGGUCCGUCUAAGGCACAUGAGCAAAUCUACACAGACAGGCAGGACCAGUAAUCUAUGUUUAGGGAAACAAUGACGCAGACAUUGCUCAAAGACAUGCUAGUUUAAAAAAGAAGGAAGAGCUGAUUUGACAGUGACAAUUAGCCAUCAGUAAGAUGAUCAAGAGUUUUAAGUCUCAUGUCAUUGGACAAUAGUAGGAAGAAUUAAAGAAAAUGAAUAUGAAUGUUCUCUUUGACACUACUGUAUGUAUUAUCUAGCGUGAGGGCAGCUACACAGAUUUAACAUCCCCAAUGACAUCUGGAAGUCUUCAGAGAGAUUGAUUUGAGCCCUCUCCUCCCCAUCCUCCCCAGGUUGUGUAACUUGUCACAUGCUUUCUUUCUCUGUUGCAGGGGGAGGGGGGAUUAGCCAGGAGUGAGAGAGCUACAGGGGACUAAACUGUGUUUCUGAGGGAAAAAAAGCAUGUUGAAACUGUCUGCUAAGUAAUAUCCAGGGGAAAAGAACACUUAGAAUCUAGAUGCCCCUCUUCCUGUAACCAAUUUGUAUCAGAGGGAAUUAAGACCCCAGUUAGAAAUAAGAUUUAUACCAAUUCUUUAGAGUUCUUAUUAUUGAUUAGUUGUAUUAGCAUAGUGCUUAGGAGUCCUAGUCAUGGAUCAGGAUCCCAUUGCAGUGGGUGCUGUACAAACAGAAUAAAAAGAUGGUCCUUGCCCCAAGAGAUUUCUUAUCCUGUAUCUCUGAUAUCUGUUCCAGGCCUUACUACUUUGGGUUCAAGUUUAGUACCUGGUUUACUAAUAACCUUUCCAGUUAUCUUUUUGAACAAAAAUAUCCAAGGUGUUAUUUGGAGGGAAAUCCUGUAAAGUGUAUUCUAACCUGUCCCUAUGGUGACCAUUCCUUCAGCAGGUAUGCAUGAUAUUUUAUAGAUGACAGUAUUAAAACUCCCAAAGUGCUGUACCAGCACACAUGGGUGUCUUUGUAAAACAUAGGAUGGAUUAUUUGGGAAUGGCCCCUUCUAUUGUUCCAAAGUUCUGGUCGGGAAUAUGCAGGAGAUCCAGCCAUCUAGGAGACUUUUCUUCACAGCCUCAUUUUGGGUUCAGUACAUUUUUACCCCUUCUCUGCACAUACUAACCACCUCAGCCUUACAUUUUUUUUUAAGAUAGUUAAAUAGGAGGGAAAGCUUGGUGCAGGGAAUCCUGGUCAGUCCAGGUCCUAAGAGAGAAGACGAGGGGGGAAACCCCUCCCACACACCAAGGGAUAUACGAGAGACCUUAACUGGUCAUUUCCUGGUUAUUAGAUGUUUGAGUCUGUGGUUGUGAAGUCCCCCCUAAUGGAAGGGUACAGAGGCAGAAGGCACUGAUGUGUGGCAAACAAACAACUCCAUCUUAAUAAAGUUUAAUCCAGCAUUGCUCCCUUGCUUUCUCUCCCCGAUCCCAAAUAAGCUAGGUAAAAUACUAAUUGUUAAUCCUGUACAUUUGUUCUCUACAAUUUGGCUGAGGCUGAAGCCUGAACAGCAGGAUGCUGAGUGCCCAUUAGUUUAAAUAGUGGUGAAACAGACAAAUCUUCUAAUGGAUGUGAUGAAACCAAAGACUUGGAGGGGGUCCUGAAAGAACGGAGUUAUGCAGAGACCAUGAGGAUUCUUACCUGAGAUGCCUAUAAGUUUUACAUGGAGGAGGUUGAAGCUGGGUGACCUUGGGAUACAGAAGUGGCCUGGCUGACCUUCUCAGCUAAGGAGCCCCUGAGCUCCCUCCUCAGCUCUCUAAGACACCUCAAAACGAGCAGGUGGCACUGCUCUUCUGUGUGAGAAGGAAGAACCAGGUGGCUCUGGAAAUACCAUUAUAAAAUUUCACUCUGAUGAACUCAAAGAAAAGAGCAAGAGACAAUUCCUCCUUGGUCAUUUUUCUUUAGGGGCUUCACAAUCCCCACUUCCUGGAAACAGGACUGAUCCAAACUCCUGAACAUUGAAAGACAAUCCCAGGAACUCCAGGAAAGGUUGGGAUCACUCUCAGGCUGCCCAGCACUGGCAUAGCUCUGCUGGGAAUGUCAAAUCAGCUCUCCUCUCUGCUUGGGUAGCAGCCCGUGCUUAGACACUGAACUUCAUAUUGUUUUGCAACAAAUGCUAGUUGGAGAGAACUCUCAUUUUGGAGACGGCACUAAAGAUGCCACUCACACCCCUCCCCCCUGCAUGCAAAGGAAAAUAAAUCCCAAUUUCCUUUAGUAACUCAACACAUUCUCUUUGUGUUAUCAUGACUACAACUAUGAUUGCCUUCCUUGUCGCUCUUGAACUUAGAUCACAAAAUAAUCUUAAAUGACUCUUUGCCCCUGUAUAUAUUGUGCACUUCUGCCUCCUACUGCACUAAUAGACUCCAUUAUGCUAUUAUCCUUGUUGCAAUUGUCAUCUACAUUUGAGAUGAAUUCUAGGCUUAGUUCAUUUCCAGGCUCUUUUGGUCCUUCAUUAUUUUCUUGACACUUUCUGGGAAGAAUCUGGCUCUAUUAUCUGCUGCCAUAUCUGGAAUAAUUUUUAGAAGGUACGUUAAUGUGCCAUUCAUUCUAUCAGUGUUUUCCUUUCACAAGUGCUUGUUUUUAUGGGGUUUUGAGGCACCUUCUCUGCUGCAUCUCUGUCACAGCUAGCAAACAAAUGGUUUUCUAGGCAAAUGUAGCUCCAAAUAUUUAUUAUGCUGAAUUAUUCUAGCUGAAUAUUCUACUUUCUCAGAAUUGUAAACUCUAGUAGCAUUACUGUGUAUCAUCUUUUGGCUCACAGUCAUGGUUUCAGAGGAUCUUUCUUUGCUUGUUGCAAAUGAAGGGAGGAGUUACAUGUUCCAUACUGUUGAAACUGGAAAAAAAAAUCAUAAAAACAAGUGUGAGCUAUGAUAUUCAGUAAAGUGCAUAUCUCUAAUUAAGAUAGACAUUUUUAUUAGAUGCUCUCCUGCCUUGUGACACAAAGCAACCCACUUUUUCCACCUCUGUCUGACUAGUGCCACAUUUCUUGCUCCACUGUGUCUGUGUACAUGACAGUGACAUCUUUCUCAAUGGUUUUCUUAUGUCUCAUCUGUUGUCCUCUUUCCCAUCUUCCACCAAGUGGUACCCAAUUAAGGGCUUGUCUAAGAAUACUUUUUUUUGACAUCUGUACAACAUGCCCAAACCACUUCAGUCUUCUUUUUCAGAUUAUUAUCCCUACAGUCUGUUGGCCAGUCCUAACACAUCAGCAUUAGUUAUUUUUUCCCCACCUGCAGACUCCAAGUCUUCUCUGCAAGCAUCUCUGAUGGCAUGCACGUGCAUUACAUUUCCUGUUGUGGGUGUCUAGCAUUGGCUAAGUUUCAGAAGCAUGUAACAAUGUAGGGAUCUCAAUAAUAUUGUGAAACUUUA